CAGUCGGACUCAGACUAACAUUCAAUACUCAAAUAGAUACGCUGUUAAAGGCUUACAGCGUCUUCAUGUGUGUGAGGGAUACCAUCCACUUCUAGCACGUAGCUCUACUAGCAUGUAUCUGUAUUAGCAUGUUGCGCUACUAGCAUGUAGCAGUACUAGCAUGUAGCACUAAUACCAUGUAGCACUACUAGCAUAUAGCAGUCCUAACAAGUAGCAGUACUAGCAUGUAGCCGAACUAGCAUGUAGCAGUACUAGCAUGUAGCAGGAUUAGCAUAUAGCAGUACCGACAUCGGGCUUAGCCCCCUGCUCUUUAGUGACCACAGGGGGUCAGAGUAGACCAGCUCCUCGUGAGGAUCCGAUCAUUUUGUGGAUCUGGUUUUCACUCACCUUUUGUCCAGCAGCUCCAUCCCGUCCUGCAGCUCCCUCACCACCAGGAGAUCCCUGAAAACACAAGACCGGUUAGAGUACAAACUAUCACCAUCAGUAGGUCUAGAGUAGAUCUUACCACUGGUAAGAGUAGAUCCUAACACAGUAGAUCAUUUCACUGGUGAGCAGUAUAUCCUAACAGUAGAUCCUAUCACAGUAGAUCCUUUCACUGUAGAUCCUAUCACUGGUAAGCAGUAGAUCCUAUCACAGUAGAUCCAGGACAGGUUUACCUCGCGUCCAGCCUCGCCGGAGGCUCCGGCCAGGCCAGAGGGGCCCAUGGGUCCAGGGGGUCCACGCUCACCGCCAGGGCCAGAAGAUCCCGCCUUUCCAACCUCUCCCUAGAAACACAGCCAGGGUCAGGAGGCUCCGCCAACAGUGAUGCUAACAGUGAUGCUAACAGUGAGGCUAGCGGUGAUGCUCAUACUGACGCUGAUAGUGAUGUUAGAGUGAUGCUCAUAGUGAUGCUUACAGUGAUGUUAGAGUGAUGCUCAUAGUGAUGCUUACAGUGAUAGUGUGUGGGUGGUUCUGUGCUGGCUGCGGGGUUCAGGUUCUGAGAGGUCCAGAGAGGGUAAGGAAAGGGUUCGGGGGUUACUUACGGAGGGUCCAGGGAGUCCGGGGAAUCCUCUCUCUCCUCUCUG